rnacentral:rRNA from 1 species
GGGGAAUAUUGGGCAAUGGGCGAAAGCCUGACCCAGCAACGCCGCGUGAGGGAAGAAGGUUCUCGGAUUGUAAACCUCUGUCCUUGGUGACGAAAAAAAUGACGGUAGCCAAGGAGGAAGCCCCGGCUAACUACGUGCCAGCAGCCGCGGUAAUACGUAGGGGGCAAGCGUUGUCCGGAAUGACUGGGCGUAAAGGGCGUGUAGGCGGCCGAUUAAGUCUGGAGUGAAAGUCCUGCUUUCAAGGUGGGAAUUGCUUUGGAGACUGGUUGGCUUGAGUGCGGAAGAGGCAAGUGGAAUUCCCAGUGUAGCGGUGAAAUGCGUAGAGAUUGGGAGGAACACCAGUGGCGAAGGCGACUUGCUGGGCCGUAACUGACGCUGAGGCGCGAAAGCGUGGGGAGCGAACA